AAAACUUUGAGUAUCUGGAAGCUACCUAAUUUUCAUGAAAUGCUUGUGUUUUCUUGUAAAUAAAGACCUUUUUGAGCUUUAUUAGAAAUGGUCAUAACAAUUUCUUAAGAUUAAGAAGGUAGUGCUGGAUAUGUGGCUAGGAUAGAUCAGAUAAGCACAUGUGGGCAAAAGAACUUGUUGAAACUCGCGCAAAUCAAGUCCAUGUGGUUGUUGUUUGGACAAGGGGAAUGUCAUUCUUGUUGUUCUUUUAUUUUUCUAAGAUGAGAGUGUCAUUCUUCUUGUGACAUAUGCUAACAUGUACUGUUGGCAGAAAAGUACAAGAGUUGAGAAGUAUAAUAUUUCGAUUAAUUAAACCGGUAAUUAAUUAGUGGAAACCAAAGAGAAUAUUGGCUUAGGAUUAGAUCGGCAGAUCGGAUUGUCGUAGAAUUUAUAAGUGCCUGCGUUUCACAAACGUUGUUGAAACCCGCGUCUGCGUUUGGGUUGUACAAAGAUAUUUGGAGAAA
rnacentral:lncRNA from 1 species